AACGAACGCUGGCGGCAUGCCUAACACAUGCAAGUCGAACGAGAUCUUCGGGUCUAGUGGCGCACGGGUGCGUAACGCGUGGGAAUCUGCCCUUUGGUUCGGAAUAACAGUUGGAAACGACUGCUAAUACCGGAUGAUGACGAAAGUCCAAAGACUUAUCGCCAGAGGAUGAGCCCGCGUAGGAUUAGCUAGUUGGUGUGGUAAAGGCGCACCAAGGCGACGAUCCUUAGCUGGUCUGAGAGGAUGAUCAGCCACACUGGGACUGAGACACGGCCCAGACUCCUACGGGAGGCAGCAGUGGGGAAUAUUGGACAAUGGGCGAAAGCCUGAUCCAGCAAUGCCGCGUGAGUGAUGAAGGCCUUAGGGUUGUAAAGCUCUUUUACCUGGGAUGAUAAUGACAGUACCGGGAGAAUAAGCUCCGGCUAACUCCGUGCCAGCAGCCGCCGUAA
rnacentral:rRNA from 1 species